rnacentral:rRNA from 1 species
UACGGGGGGGAGCAAGCGUUGUUCGGAUUUACUGGGCGUAAAGGGCGCGUAGGCGGCGUGACAAGUCACUUGUGAAAUCUCCGGGCUUAACUCGGAACGGUCAAGUGAUACUGUCGUGCUAGAGUACAGAAGGGGCAACUGGAAUUCUCGGUGUAGAGGUGAAAUUCGUAGAUAUUCGGAAGAACACCAGUGGCGAAGGCGGCUCACUGGACCGGUAUUGACGCUGAGGAGCGAAAGCGUGGGGAGCGAACAGG